GAGCGGGCUAUAUCGGAGGGGUAGCCGACCUUUGUCACUACAAACCGGCUUCAUGGUAGGAUUUAUGUCUGUAUUGCGGUAGUGUCCGUUGUCGCUAAGGUCUUGGUUCACAACAAUGAAGCCUUGUCCUGUUUGGUUAGCGUUCGUGAAAAAUAAGUCAGAUGCGGAAGCAAGCAGCUUUCAUCACGUUCGUUGGCGCUUUCAGGGUCGCAGGGUUGAGACGUUUACUAAGGUCGCCUUACGCCAGCACAUUAUCAAAGUGCGGAUGCCUGCUC
rnacentral:SRP_RNA from 1 species